UUUCAUAACCUUCACAACAUCAGUAGGAUUCAUGACUUACUUUUUCUCAUUAAAUUCAUAUAUAUAUACACAUAUAUGCAACAAUUGUUUCAGAGGGAUUUGAAACUUAUCUUUUUUCCUUCCUCGUUAUUUUUUUCGUUUCCGUAUUUCCCUAUGCAAGCAGACAGAUGCUUGUUAGGCUCUGAAAAAUACUACAGUGACAAGUGUCUCAGAAGUAAAGAGAAAAUACCCAUUCAGUGCGUUAACACCUGCCAAAUAAAAUGAAACUGCCUUAUCAUUCUUAAAAUACAGAGCAACUGGUAUAGAUCAAUGUGCAGCACAUACAUCACAAGAUAGCUAAAUGAACGUGGCAAAGCCCUUUUACAUAUGAUCAUGUCUUCCAAAAGUUUUUUUCCCUUUCCAACUUACUUCGACUUACGAAACAUUCACAAAAAACUGGCCUGAAAAAAACAAGGAAAGCUAAACUGAAAAUUCACAGUAUUUAUGGAAAUCUUUUCAUAAAAUUCUAACAUUUUCACACUCACACACAAAAAAAUCUGUUGGCAACUCUUUCAUGUUAAGUCACAGAGGGAGCUGAACCAACAGUAUUCAUCUUAGGAAGAGUCAAUAGAAAGUAGUGUCUGGCCUGGGUCUGACUUGUAAAAGUUCUGCUGAUGUCAGUGACAGGUGGACACAAACAGGCAGAAAGUAGGAUUUGGCUCCUACUUUUUACAAGUAUUUUUCACAAGAAUAAAUAAAUGACAAGUCUUAACUUCGUAAUCUCAAAGUUAUUAUGCUCAAGUGUUUCUUUUCAGGGAGGUAGCAAUGUGACUCAACAACUCAUCUUUCCAUCAUAUUUCCUUUGCAGAGAGCUACAGAUGAAGUGUUAUCAUAUCCUGAAUCCUGCCGUGAGCACUGAGCAGACAGAACUGUAUCUAAGCACCUGACAACAAUUUACUGUGGCAAGGAACGUGGAAUUGCUUUAAAUAACCUCUGGCAGGGCAAGAGACAGUUCAGCCUUCAUACUGAUUUGGCCCAGUACUUUUCCUCACUGCUCUGGCACAUCACGGCUAAUUAUGCAGACAACUUUAAUAAUGUGAAGUGCUGCGGACUAAGCUGCUUACACUGACUUGUGCUCCAAGCCGAGCACACUGUAAAUUCAAACCUCGUCUUGGAAAUAAGUGGAUGGCACUUUAACUGAUUGAGAACACCAUCUCCAGAGCGAGGAUGAGUUUUGCACUUCGCUGGUCAAGAAUCAGAACAAAUCUCUUUGUGAAUUUGUGUUGAAGCAGCACAAAGAGCAAGCUCUUCCCACCGACUUGGAGUUCUGGCCUGGAACACUUUUCCCUGCUACUACUGCCACCCAGUGAAACUGUACAGUUAGUGGGAAACGCCACUGUUUCCAGAAACCCUAAAAUUCCCUUUCAGAUGUUUGACUGUCCUGACAACAUGCAAAACCAGCAGCUUUAAAAGUUAAAUGGUUGGCUGGUUUGUUUUUUUUAUUUUGCAUUCUCACACUAGAAAACUAUAUACCCCCAAACUUCAAAACAAAUGUGUUUAAGCAAUCUAGGGUAUGCAUAGACAAACACAGUUUACCCAAAUUUAAUUUGGAACUCAUUAAUUCAUAUUAUUAUGGGAUGCAUACACCUAUAUAUAAAAUUUGUGUGCACAUGUACAUAUAUACACACAUGCACACACAAAAAACCGCAAUAAAUUAAGCUAUAUUUUUAUCUACCUAAUAGUUAAGUUUCCACACUUCUUACAAUUACAGUUAUGUCAUGACGUACAUGCAGCUGGGGUCUAUUUCUAGAUGCUAAGAGCUAGGCCAUAAGUAUCUUGCGCACCUAUGCUAUUAUUUCUUUUAACGGGAAACCCACUGGUUUCACCCUAUCUAGGCAAGAGGUUUUUUUACGCUACUGAGAAUAAAGCUUUCACAAUCUGGUGCUACAAAAAUACCCAAACUGAACAUCAAAAAUAUUGUGAUCUGCACAAAAAGCACAUAAUAUGUGCUGAGGUUUUUAUCAGACUGCAAAUUUAAUAGUUGCAGCUGCAAGUCAUCACAAAAUGAUAUAAAGAAGUAGCUUUCUGUAAGGAGCCCACUACGUGAGCACAGCAAUAAUAUCUUUCUCUUAUUUAGUAUAUUCAGUGCAGACUAUGGGUAAAAUAUCUCUUGAUGAAGCAAUUGCAUUAUUAUUGGUUGUGUGAGGCCCGUUCCGUACUCUGAAGAGCUAUCAAGCCAUAAUACAUUUCAUCAGAUUGAAUGUAAGAACACACAAUAUAUCUAACUUUCUUCUUUCUUUUACAACUAGCCAGAGGCUUGAAGAUUAAUAAAACUGAAUUCUUCCUUAGAAGUCUUCUAAUGAAUUGGGUUUCUCUGCAAUUGGGAUGAUCAUAUCAUAUUUUAGCCUCAGUCCUCCUCUCUGCUGUAAAUACAGUGUCAGUUUUAUAACUUUAUUUCAUUUUUAGGUAUAUUUUCCAGCAGCUCUCAAAAAAUGGCUCAUCACUGAUGUUUUUAAUAUUCACUUUCACAAUAUUAAUGACAUUAAACUAGUUCCUUAUUAAGGUACAUGUUCCAUAGAAAUUACAUUGUAAUUUUUACCUGAUUAAUGUCAACCUGUUAGAAAGUGUUUCUGGAAGGCGUUAUUAAUGGCCAUGGUGGUGAUUAAGCUAAAAUGAGUGUUAAAUUAGGAAAUGCAUUAAUUACUAACUAGCCAUUAUCUAGAGAAAAGCCAUUAACAUACUGCAAUAUGUAGAGCUGUGACUCCAAUAGCUGGGACAAAUUUCCUUUUUUUGCCCUUGAUAUUUUUCCAGUUAUUUAUGCCUAAGGGUUGCAAGUCCUCCUGUCUAUAACACAUUAUUUUCAUGUGUGGCUCCUCCUCUGUUGUUAUGUGAUGGGAGAGCUAGUGUCCAGUCUACCUGCUAUCCACUGCAUCCAGCAACAAUCAUAUUGAUAUCACAUUUCUCACUGCUUCUACUGAAAACAGCUAAAACCAAUGCUUCCACGCAUCUCACCACAGUGAUCUAUCUACUGAGCUCUCUCUGAAGUGAAAGUAUAACCAACACAGUUCUUACUUGUGCAAAGCGUUCAGCAUUUCUGUUCACUGUAAACUGGUAAGUCGUGUUUGGAAAUUGAAUGCUGACAGGGAGGAUGGAGACAUUGAAAUGAAGCAUCACCGAUCUUUCUGGGCCAUGAAACUCUGUGUCAUUCACCAAAACAUCCAACUGGAAGGAACGAUGCUCUGUGACUGAAAUGCUUUUAUUCAGUACCAGUUCUGCAAAGGAAAAGAUUAGUCCAUUACCAACCCACGCUAUCCACAAACGUAUAUUUCUAUACAAUUCCAAUAAAAUGAUACAUAUCAAAAUCAUAUGUAUCAAAGUUAUUCCUAACAGGAAACAGAAGGCAAGUUAAAUAUGAAAAUAUGCUCCUACACAGUUAUGCUCUAUGCCAUUCAAGAUGUUUGAAGAAGUCCUCUUUCCCUUCUACCUGCAGUGCUGAGAACCCCACAAUCAGAACCUCUUGCCUAUCAGCACCCACAACAUCACGCCAUAAGCUCCCUAUCCCAGAGAUGAAUAAACUCCAUUUUCUCAGUACAUUUUUAAAACUCAGUGUUUGCUUAACUAGAAAUUUCUCGGCUUUUUUUUGCUCAGUAUUUACUUGGAAAAGUUCAAGAACUUAUUGGUCAAUUACUACCAAGCAACUUCUUUAUUUGAAGAAAGAGACCUUACUGUACUCAUGUCGAGUUCCCCUCACUUGGCUGCCAUUUGGGCUGAAGUGGAUUUCAUCAAAGAUGUGCUCUACCCGAAAUGUUUCACUCAUCCAGGGAUCAUCAGUAAUGAUGGUUCCUGUGUAUUUCUUUCUGCUGCUUUCGAGGGGAUAAAUAGGUGUGGUGUCUGCAUCGUAUACAGUUAGCGUUGCAAGAACAGUUCCCUAGAAGGAAAUAAUAAAUGACAUUGCUGAACGACCUGAAGCUUUCUUUCUCUGAUAUGUGUUUGGGAGAUUGAAAUAUUGGUCAAAUAAAACCUUAAAACUUUC